GUGGCGCACGGGUGCGUAACGCGUAUGCAACCUACCUUAAUCAGGGGGAUAGCCCGGAGAAAUCCGGAUUAAUACCGCAUAAAAUCACAGGAUUGCAUAAUCCAAUGAUCAAACAUUUAUGGGAUUGAGAUGGGCAUGCGUGUCAUUAGCUAGUUGGCGGGGUAACGGCCCACCAAGGCGACGAUGACUAGGGGAUCUGAGAGGAUGGCCCCCCACACUGGUACUGAGACACGGACCAGACUCCUACGGGAGGCAGCAGUAAGGAAUAUUGGUCAAUGGAGGCAACUCUGAACCAGCCAUGCCGCGUGCAGGAAGACUGCCCUAUGGGUUGUAAACUGCUUUUAUCCGGGAAUAAACCUUUCUACGUGUAGAAAGCUGAAUGUACCGGAAGAAUAAGGAUCGGCUAACUCCGUGCCAGCAGCCGCGGUAAUACGGAGGAUCCAAGCGUUAUCCGGAUUUAUUGGGUUUAAAGGGUGCGUAGGCGGCCUGUUAAGUCAGGGGUGAAAGACGGUAGCUCAACUAUCGCAGUGCCCUUGAUACUGAUGGGCUUGAAUGGACUAUAGGUAGGCGGAAUGAGACAAGUAGCGGUGAAAUGCAUAGAUAUGUCUCAGAACACCGAUUGCGAAGGCAGCUUACUAUGGUCUUAUUGACGCUGAGGCACGAAAGCGUGGGGAUCAAACAGGAUUAGAUACCCUGGUA
rnacentral:rRNA from 1 species